rnacentral:rRNA from 1 species
UACAGAGGGGGCAAGCGUUGUUCGGAAUUACUGGGCGUAAAGGGCGCGUAGGCGGCCUUCUAAGUCGAACGUGAAAUCCCCGGGCUCAACCCGGGAACUGCGUCCGAUACUGGAAGGCUUGAAUCCGGGAGAGGGAUGCGGAAUUCCGGGUGUAGCGGUGGAAUGCGUAGAGAUCCGGAAGAACACCGGUGGCGAAGGCGGCCUGCUGGGCAGUGGCUGACACUGAGGCGCGACAGCGUGGGGAGCAAACAGG